CCUGGUGACCAUGGCGGAGGGGAAACACCCGUUCCCAUCCCGAACACGGCCGUUAAGCCCUCCAGCGCCGAUGGUACUGGCGGGGCAACCCGCUGGGAGAGUAGGACGUCGCCAGGA
rnacentral:rRNA from 2 species